CUCAUAUUUAUAGGAGUAAGCAAGAUGGCGAUCAGAAGCAAAUUGUCUAUUAUGAAUUUACUUAAGAUAUUGUUUCUUGGCAUGUCCAUGACACAAUGCAGCUCAGCAAUAGAUUUUUUGGGAAGCAAAAGGUCGCGUAGAUCAGUAAUGGAAUUUGAUUCCAUUGACUUAGCCCCUACAUUCCAUCGAGUUGUUGCUGAACAGGAUUUGGGACACAACCGUCGCAAACGGGAUGUUAAACAAUGCGGAAAUUUACAGACACUGCUACAACCGGACAAAACUUACGACAAAGAGCAUGAGUUCAAUGAAACUAAGACAGCAAUUGCUCUGGCAUGGGCAGGAGAAAAUGAUGGGACGAUAAUCAUUGUGACAAGUCAUUCCAGUCCUUUGACAGGGGCUACCAUUGCCAACACAGUCUUCAGGAGCACUAACUUUGGUGUAACCUACAUCAACUUGACAAGUGAACAGAACAUUACUGGACUGAUCAAGAGACAUAAUGGUCUACAGAGACAUCCCCUGGACCCCCAAAAAGUGUACCUGGUUGGAGAAGGAAGCUUCAUGUACGUGACAGUUGAUGGGGGCAUGACCUUCAGGAAGGUCACUCUGCAAUUCCAAGUGACAGAUGAUCUCAUCUUUCAUUCCAGCCCUAACCUUACAAACCAGCUGAUGGCCUUGUGGAAUCAGGACCUGUACAUGUCUGUUGAUGAUGGCAUGACAUGGAAGCUGGUACAGUCAGGAGUAGACAAGGCGGUGUGGGGGGUACCCCCAGACCCUGAGGACGACACGCCCCAGAAGAACCCCGACACCAACACCACCAUGUACUUCACAUAUGCUCAGAGCUCCGAUGACAUCCUGUCGAAACAUUUUUAUCAAUUGAAUGGAGUCAAGUUUGACUACACACUGGGCAAGUCCAACGGUGCAGCUGUGAAGGACAUAUUAACAAGGGUAGUGACCUUUGAGCGCCAGGGCAGAUUCCUGUAUGCAACUACUGUAGGGCACCCAGUGGACAGUUUUAAUGCAGAGGAUGAUUGGCUACAAAUGAGAGUGUCCACAGACAAUGGUGAGACCUUCACAGAGGUGCAGCUACCUACCAUUGAACCAGAACAGUUCUAUAGUGUAGUGGAUAUUGAAGAAAACAUGAUCUUCAUGCAUGUGGACAACAAAGGAGACACUGGACACGGGACUUUGUACAUAUCCGCCAAUCAGGGCGUGGUUUUCUAUGAGUCGUUGCCGAAGCAUCUAUACCCGAACUUCAACCCCCUCCAUGAUUUUUACAAAGUCCAGUCAAUGCGAGGUGUGUUUAUAACGAGCCAGAUGAGCGAUGACGAUAGCAUUCACACCAUGAUCUCCUACAACCAGGGGGCCAACUGGCAGAAGAUCCCGCGCCCUGCUAAUGCACCUUGCAAAGACGAAACAAAGGACUGCAGCCUGCAGAUCCACGGCAUGUACAGCAUGAGCAGGAACAUUGUAGGCAGUCUACCCAUCAGUGAGACCACAGCCGUCGGCAUCAUCAUGGCACACGGCCAUGUGGCUGAUGCUCUACAAGUUACCAAACCGGACGUGUACAUCUCAAUUGAUGGAGGGUAUUCAUGGAGCAUGACACUCUCAGGGCCGCACCACUACCAGAUUGGUGACCAUGGUGGUCUGCUGGUGGCAGUGUCCAUGGCCGAGCCCAACCCACAGACCAUCAAGUUCUCCACGGACGAGGGGCAGUGCUGGCACGAGUACAAGUUCUCUGACGAAAAAUUGAUUUUUACAGGUCUGUUAACUGAGCCAGAGGGCAAGAGUUCAAUUGUGCUACUGUGGGGCUACGACUCAGAGACCAAGAACUGGCGGAUGCACGUCAUUAACUUCGGCGAUAUCAUCAAAAGGCAGUGUGGAGAUGGGGACUAUGAAUCCUGGCUGUCCCAUUCAUCCCACAGAAGUACCGAGGGAGCCAGCACAGCAGGGUGCCUGCUAGGGGUCAGGGAGACAUUCUACAGGCUCAAGAAAGACUCCCUGUGCUACAAUGGCUAUGACCAUGUGGUAGUGAACACCUCAGUGCCAUGUACAUGUACCAGAGAGGACUAUGAGUGUGACUAUGCAUACUACCAACCAGGGGGUUCCGAUGACUGUGUGAAGGAGAAAGAGUUCAAGGGACCUGAGAUUGAUAUCUGUCACCAUGGCCAUGAGGAGAAACUGGUGUCUGAGGGGUACCGUAAGAUUCCUGGGGACCGGUGCAAGGAUGGCUUCAAACCAACUAGCAAGCUCAUAGACUUGAACCAGAUAUGUGACAAACAUUUGACCCCUAGAUUUGCUGCAUCUACAGGCUUUCUACUGGUCCCUACUUUUCCUACUUUUCCCUUCUUUUCCCUACUUUUUUUUCUUAAGGCCAAAAUAUUUUAUUAAAAUGAUUUUCGGAUUUUUUUUCUAAAAGUGUCGGGUAGGAGGACGAAAAAAAAAAAGAUGGGUUACCAAAUAUGCACUCGUUUAUAAAAUGUUAUGGUAUGAAGUUCUCUUUACUAAGCAACCACAGUGAUUUUUUUCAAACAUGUUGAUGUGCAAAAUGAUCAUAAUCAGACUGUAGGCCUUGUUGUGCAGUUUUUAAAAUACUAGUAGUUUGAAUUUUAAAAAUAUCUUAACUAGUUCAAAAGUUAAGCAAUUUUUUCACUUGACUAUAAUAAACUUUUUGGUGAUUUUUUGAUGUUUUUUUUUUCACAAGGAAUCCAUAUGUUGCAUUUAAAUACUUUAUCUCAACAAACAACCAAUAAGCUAUUGAGGUUUAAAAGAAAUAUUUAUAGUUUUUUGUCCAGUAAAAAUCAAUACCGCAGACAAAUACAAAUAGCAUAAUAAAACGCUUUUCAGGGGUUUCACUGGCCCAAAAAAAAUUGUCGCAUUUUCGCGGUGUGAAAACCGCCCGUAAUUCAAACUUAAUCAAUAAGGACAAUCAUUUAAGGAACCUUACUACAUUAAUGAAUAAUGGCAUUUAUUAAAUUUUUAUUACUCUGAGAAGUAUGUUAAUACAUAAAUAACAAUAAGUGCCUUCAUAAGUCUUAACAUUAAAAGCUUUAUUUUUAUAUAAAUUACAUUUUUUCCACUUGAUAAACCAGAUAACCAACAUAAUAUAAUAACAUUAACAAUAAUGUAACAGUAUGCUGCACAAAUGUUUCAGAAUUAUUUAUUAAAACCUAAAAUCACACAAAUAUAUAUCAUCUGAAAGGAAAAAUAAAUCAAACAUCAGAAAAUAAAGCAUCUCAAUUCAAAUUGUUAAACAGUUUAUACAUUUGGUCAUUUGGACAUGAUAUACACCAACUUCUGUUUAUUAUCAAAUUUCACAAAUUCUAAAACAACACCUUUUGUCAAAAGGUUUUCUGUUAGUUGUGGUAGUUGAUUUCCAGGUUCAAUUAAAUGAAUAUUUUUUCACAUCUAUUUCUUGACAGAAAGGCCCAGGAUAAUUUCCACCAUUCAUUCUUGUUGUCUGAAAUAACACAAAACAUAUUUAUACAAACUAUAUACAACAAAUCAACACAUAAAUGUCACUAACUUUAUAUAUGUCCGAAUUUUAACAUAUCCGAAAUAUAGUACAUCGAGUCAAGGACCUACUUUUGAUUUCAGAAAUAGUUGGUAUCUUAAUUAAAAUAUAUCGUUCCCAGAACAUUUUAAUAAUGGAACUGUUAAACACAAAUGUCUGUUGAAACAAGUUAACAUGUGUUUUUGUCAUGGUAUUGAUUAAAGAAAUAGCGUCCCUAAUAACCGUUAUAUUAUUGAUCUUCGUGACAGUUUAUCCCAGGAUAACAUACUUGAUAGUUCAAUGUCAUAAAGGAGCUGUUAAUCCGAUAAUAACCCCGAUAAACUUGACUAUUUUUUUUGGACAUUUAUGGUUUGAAAUCGUUUUAAAAUUGUUGAUUUUGCGAUUUUUGAACUUUUGGUACGAACCAGUUCGGAACAAAACCGAAGUUUCGUACCCAUUGAAAAUAACGAAAAAACGCGUAUUAUAUGCACAAAUUCGUAACUACAACUAUAUUAAACAACACAUAAAAUUUUAAUCUCUAAAAUAUGACCGUAUUUGUGCGUAAAAUAUGGAAUGUUUAAAGUUGAUAGGCGUAAAUGGGUUUCGCAUUGCGAGCACCUGUUAAAUUAAAAUCGUUCUUUUCUUAUUGCUUUCAUAAUAUUUUUUAGUCAUUUUAAUACUAUCAAUUUUAUAAAAUUGUAAAGAAAUAAUAAAAUAUUUACUUACAAAUCGAUUCCAUUCAGGAUUUCAUUUGACGGUUGCAUAAUUAUUGAGAAAUUAGCAGACUUUGCCGAUGAAAGCGUUGUAGCGUUCUUCAACUUCUUGCACAAACAAUAAUGGCGUAUCUGAUGGUAAAUUCCAGCACAUGUACACGAUGAAGGAGGUUCACGAAUUAAUGUGGGUAAUUUAAACUGGGUUUAUUAUCAUGAUUUAUAACUCAUUUGAACAUUUUCGAAAACCCGGCAAGCGUUUCGUGUUUAAAAGCCACCUUUUGGCAUCCGAAAAAAAAAGAUUUUUAAAUUAUUUAUUUUUGGUUUCGUAAAAAAUUGGAGUCGGCGGGUCCGAAAAUCAUUUUAUUAAAAAAUUCUGGCCUAACCCUACUUUUCCUUACUCUUUUCAAAAAUAGCCCUAUUAUCCCUACUUUUUCAUUUUGCAAGUAAAAUAAAUAAAAUGUAAAAUGAAGGCUUACAUGAUUCUUCUUUAGAUAUUUUGCAGAAUUUCCAUCCAUUAUGAAUCUUUUGUAAUGAGUACAGUUCAGAUGUGUUUGAGGGAUCACCUUGUGAUGUCCAUCCUUGAAAGCACCAUGGUUCCUUGGCUAGUCAGGACAGACAUACUGGUCUUAAGGUGCCUGUAUUUCAAGGAUGGGCAGAACAAGGCAUUCUAACAGCAUCAGAUGGACUAGGAUAUGUAUCAAUUUAACAGUAAUUCCAGCUGAAAAAUGGUAAUAAUUUUCUUAUUUAGCCCUACUUUUUAACAGUAAAAAUCCCUUCUUUGCCCUACUUAAAAAAAAUCUUGCCCUACUUUUGCCCUAGUUUUUUGUGGAGAGGCAGUAGAAAGCCUGCAUCUAUGACAAAAAUAAUUCAUUAAAUAAAAAAUAACAUGUUAUGAAGAAAAAUGCUGUGAGGUAUUAACUAAAUUACAUACUAGGAGUAAUAUUAUACUUAAUUCUUAGUGAGUCAACAAAUCUAGAGAUAUUUCCAUAGCAAGACUUGUCUUAAAACUCCACUUAUGUGAAACAAAAAUGAAGCAAAUUAGCAAACAGCAUAAAUUCUGCUGAUAAAUAUGCAUACAAAGUUCAAUCACACUAGCAGCUAUACUUUUUGAGCGUGAUGAAAAAUCCCACAGCCAGAUGGAAUGACAGACAGACAAGAGCAAAUGAAAAACCACCUGAUUGAAAAAGAACGGGAAAUAGUGACAUGCUCUAUUCUUCAAUUUUCAACGGCAAUUAGAGCUGUAACGAUUCACCCAUCAUUCGAUUCGAUUUCGAUACUAAAUAGUCUUAUUCGAUUAUUUUCGAUUUAAUUUAAAUUAAAUUAAUUGCUGCUUAUUUUGCAAUCUAUUUCAUGUUUGGUUUGUCCAGAGCAUGAAUUAAUAUGUUUGGUAUUUGUUAUUAACUUAUUAUGUUUUACAUUUAAAGUGUUAAAAAAAAUUUAAUUUCAAAACGCAACAUUGUUUUAUAAGUAACAAACUUAUUGAACAAAACUUCCUGUUGAGUUAUUCUUAAAUAACAUAAAAUGCACAAUGUAUCACAUGUGUUUAACAGAAAAAAAACGUAAGUUAAUAAACAACUUCCAGUUGACUUCUUAACAGAAUGCACACAGUUUAGUAAGAAAAAACGUAUGGGUAACUUACGUCAACAAAACACGUUUUGCAAGUUGCCUUUGCAUCAGAACCAUUCAUCAUGCUCGUCUGAAUGCCAGGUGUCCUGCGUUUGCUCUGAAGUGGUGGUUAAGACUGAAUGGCUGAAAAUAUAUGGAAGUAUACCAUUUAUACAUGGGAUAAUAACCAUUGUUUAAAUAUUUAUCUUUGAGUGGUGAUGUAUUCAAAAACAAAAAAUCUGAUCGCUACAAGUAACACAGUGGAAAUCAUAAUGUUAUUAUGCAUGCUGAUGGAUAGCAUUUGGUAUACUGUAUACAAGAUCAUUUCAAAGAUAUUUUUUUAAGCUAUAAGGUGUAAACGGUAUUUUAUGGCCAUCAUCCUGUUGUAAAAACACAUGUGUUACAUAAACAUGUAACCAGAUUAUCCUGUGAUUUAUUUUUUUUGUGUGUGCAAAAUUUUAUUUUUUCCGUAGAAUAUUACAUACAUAUGUAGACAAUUUAGUACAUUCAUACAAAGCUUUUCAGAUAGUAUUGUACAGCUACUUGAUAGGUACAUAUUACUGGCGUACAUUCAACAUACAUUCAUAUACAAAUCUAGUUGUGUUAUACUAGAAGUAUUUUACAACAGCAAAAAAAACACAACAACACAAACAAGCUUGUAACAUACAACAUUACUUAAUGUUGAUUAUAUGUAUGCAUAUUAUUUAUAAUAAAAAGUAUUGCACAUUAGAAAAUUAAUUUGUAAGUGCUGAAUUGUAUUAUAUAAGAAUAUUGAUUAUGCAGAGUUUAGAACAAAACUUGCAGUAUAAAUAUUUUUAUAUUAACAGUUAUUUAACUAUUUGUAAUGUCGUUAUAUGAGAUGUCAGUAAAUAUUUUAAUAAGGGACCAGAUUCUUAAUUCUUCUUCUGAUUUAAUUGUAUUUUUGUAAAUUUCAAAAGCGUGCUUCAUACUAUUUACGAGUCCAUACUUUGAAGGGAUUCUAUUUUUUCUCUGACAAUGAAAAAUAUAUCGUUUAAACUCUAGGCAUACUAUGUUUAAAUCGUUCAUUUUUUUUAUUAAUAAUUCCAAGGACUAGAUUUUGACAUGUAAUAUGAAUAGGUAUGCUUGGUCUACUUUUACGAAUAAUCUCAGCAACAACUUUAAUCAUUUCUUGGGUAAAUGGACAGUACCAGAACAAGUGCGUUAUAUUUAUGCCCCCCUUCGAAGAAGAGGGGGUAUAUUGCUUUGCUCAUGUCGGUCGGUCCGUCCGUCCACCAGGUGGUUUCCGGAUGAUAACUCAAGAACGCAUACGCCUAGGAUCAUGAAACUUCAUAGGUAGAUUGAUCAUGACUCGCAGAUGACCCCUUUUGAUUUUGAGGUCACUAGUGCAAAGGUCAAGGUCACGGUGACCCGAAAUAGUAAAAUGGUUUCCGGAUGAUAACUCAAGAACGCAUACGCCUAGGAUCAUGAAACUUCAUGGGUAGAGAUUGAUCAUGACUUGCAGAUGACCCCUAUUGAUUUUGAGGUCACUAGGUCAAAGGUCAAGGUCACGGUGACCCGAAAUAGUAAAAUGGUUUCCGGAUGAUAACUCAAGAACGCAUACGCCUAGGAUCAUGAAACUUCAUGGGUAGAUUGAUCAUGACUGGCAGAUGACCCCUAUUGAUUUUGAGGUCACUAGGUCAAAGGUCAAGGUCACGGUGACCCGAAAUAGUAAAAUGGUUUCCGGAUGAUAACUCAAGAACGCAUACGCCUAGGAUCAUGAAACUUCAUGGGUAGAUUGAUCAAGACUCGCAGAUGACCCCUAUUGAUUUUGAGGUCACUAGGUCAAAGGUCAAGGUCACGAUGACCCGAAAUAGUAAAAUGGUUUUCGGAUGAUAACUCAAAAACGCAUAUGCCUAGGAUCAUGAAACUUGAUAGGUAGAUUGAUCAUGACUCGCAGAUGACCCCUAUUGAUUUUGAGGUCACAAGGUCAAAGGUCAAGGUCACGGUGACCUGAAAUAGUAAAAUGAUUUUCGGAUGAUAACUCAAGAACGCUUUUGCCUAGGAUCAUGACACUUCAUAGGUACAUUGAUCGUGACUCGCAGAUGACCCCUAUUGAUUUUCAGGUCACUAGGUCAAAGGUCAAGGUCACAGUGACAAAAAACGUAUUCACACAAGGGCUGCCACUACAACGGACAGCCCAUAUGGGGGGCAUGCAUGUUUUACAAACAGCCCUUGUUUCAACUUCAGUGUUACAAAAUGUACAUAGAUUAUUUGCUACAAUUUUCAUUUUGAACAUAAGGGAUUUUGUUCCCAAUAUUCUGUGGACUAUUCUGCAUUGGAGCCAUCUGACAUAUACUUCCUUAGUUAGAUUGAAUACGAGUGGAUGUACUUUUUUCCAUUCAAUAUUUAAAAAUUCUGUGUUCCAUUUUGUAUGACAAGUUGGAAUCUCAUUGUUUUGAAUUAAUAUUUUAUAAAUAUGUUUCUCUUCUUUUGGGCUGGUUAUUAUUUUUUUAAUGUAAGUUUGAAAUAAAGGUCCUUGAGUUUUUUUGUUAAAAUGUUGCAGGUCUUCAAAUUUGUCAAUAUAAUUCUUUAUUGUAUUUUUUAAUCCUUGGUACAGAAGGAAAUUUACAUUUGUUCCAACCUGUGUAUCCAAAGAUUCUUUGGAAAUAAAGUUUCUUUCUACCAUAAUAUCUCUCACAAAUCGGAUGCCUCUUUCAUAUAGACAUUUAAUAUAGAUAUAGCUUUUGUUUAUUGUAAAAUUAUGAUUAUAAAAUAGAGGCAUAUCCAGAAUAUCUUCACUAUUUAUUACUGGCAGCUUUUCAACGUACAAUAUAUAGUUUUUCAAAACAUCGAGCCAAAAUUUAUUUUUCAGGUAUAGACAUAUUUUUUCGGCAUACUUUUUACCAGUGUUGAAUAUUAUCUUAAAAUCUAUUAACGAUUUUGCCAAUGAAUAGCAAUUUCCUUCGCCUGACAUUAUUCUCUUAAUCUAUGUUAUUUUCUUGUAUUUUUUCAAAGGAACAUAUAUCAACCAUAUUUAACCCACCUUCGUUAUACUCCUUAACAAUUACUGUUUUUAUUUCCCCCACCCACUAUAGUGGGGGACAUAUUGUUUUUGCCCUGUCUGUUGGUCUGUUGGUUGGUUGGUUUGCGCCAACUUUAACAUUUGCAAUAACUUUUGCAAUAUUGAAGAUAGCAACUUGAUAUUUGGCAUGCAUAUGUAUCUCAUGGAGCUGCACAUUUUGAGUGGUGAAAGGUCAAGGUCAGAGGUCAAAUAAAUGUGGCCAAAAUCGCUAAUUUUAUGAAUACUUUUGCAAUAUUGAAGAUAGCAACUUGAUAUUUGGCAUGAAUGUGUAUCUCAUGGAGCCGCACAUUUUGAGUGGUGAAUGGUCAAGGUCAAGGUCAUCCUUCAAGGUCAAAGGUCAAAAAAAAAAGCGGCGCAGAAGGGGACAUAGUGUUUCCGACAAACACAUUUCUUGUUUUAAUUUUGCUUGGCCCUGCCAAAAUGAAAUCAUAGAAGUGCUGUUCUAUUGUUUUCAUGGUGUCUUUGCUUGGUGAUGGCAGUGAUACAAAUAAAUGAGUAAGUAAAGGUAGAAACAAUGAUUUGACAAUGGUUAUCUUUACUAGAGGAGUAAUAUUUCUGCGAUUCCAAUGAGUUAUUGAACUUUUAAUACUUUCUAUUUUAUUAUCAAAAUUUUUCAUGAUCAUGUUGUCUAAAUUAAUAUCAAACAUUAUUCCAAGAACUUUAUAGGUAGUAGCUCCCUAUGUAAGUUUGUAUUUAGUUUUAAUUGAUCUGGUACUAUAUUUCAUAGAACCUAUCCAAAUUAAAUUAGUUUUUUCGUAGCUUAUGUUAAGUCCAGAGUAUUUUGAAAAUUCAUGAAGCAUGUCUAGUGUACCAUUAAGAGAUGAUUCUGAUCCGUCCAGAAAUAAAGAUGUAUCAUCAGCAAAUUGAGAUAUUUUAUAUUCUAUGUAAUUUAUUGUUAUACCUUUUAUUUUUUGUUAUCUCUUAUUUUAAUGGCAAGAAUUUCUAAACAGAUAAUAAAAAUGUAAGAACUGAUAGGGUCACCUUGACGGCAUCCCCUCUAUACAGAAAGUAUUUGACAAGAAGCCAUUUAUUUGUAUGGAGGCCAUGGUAUUAUGCAAGAACAUAGAUAUCCAUUUUUGAAGCAUUGGUCCGAAAUUUAAAAAACUAAUAGUUGUUUCGAUAAACUGAAAAGACAGAGUAUCGAACGCUUUUUCAAAAUCAAUUGUCAUUAGUAAUCCAGGUAAAUUAUUAUCUUCAGCAUAUUUUAAUAUAUCAUAAAGUAAUCUAGUGUUUUCACCAAUGAAUCGACCUUUAAUGAAACCUGUUUGAUCUUUAGAUAUUAAAAUGUCAAGUACUGUUUUUAAUCUAUUUGCAAUGGAACCUGAUGCUAGUUUGUAAACAACAUUUAAUAAUGUUAGCGGUCGCAAAUUUUUCAGAUAACACAGCGGCUUGUUUACUUUUGGAAUACAAGUUAUAAUUCCAUGGUUUUGUGUAAUAGACAACGAAUUUUUAAUAAAGGCGUAAUAAAGACUUCUCACUAUGAAAUGGCCUAAUUUAUUGCAAAAUACUUUAAAGAAUUCAGCUCUGAAUCCAUCAGAACCUGGACUUUUGUCAUGUUUCAUAUUUUUGAGUAUUAUGGAUACUUCUUCAAUAUUAAGCAGCCCUUCUAUCGAGUCAGAUUGAACUUUAUUCAACUUUGGUAUAUUCAUAUUUUCUAAAUCAGUUUUUAUAUCGUAUUUAAUUUCGUUUUCAUUUUUAUUGUAUAAGGUUUUAUAGAAUGAAACAGCUUCUUUUAAAAUAUCAUUUUGUUCUAUUAAUCUAGCACCGUUUUCUAAUUCAAUAAAAGGUAAGGACUUGCUUGUGUAAUGAUUUGUUUCUAGCGAGCAAAAGUAUUUAGAUGGUUUUUCUCCAUCUUCUAUCCAUUUAGCUCUGGAACGAAUAAGAGAGCCUUUAAGUUUAUUUUCCCUAACAUUUUUAACCAGGUUUUCCGAAGGAAAAAACUGGUUAUUAGAUUGGCGAAUGCGGGCGGGCUGGCUGGCGGGCUGGCGGGCUGGCUGGCUGGCGGGCUGGCGGAAUAAGCUUGUCCGGGCCAUAACUAUGUCGUUCAUUGUCAGAUUUUAAAAUCAUUUGGCACAUUUGUUCACCAUCAUUGGACGGUGUGUCGCGCGAAAUAAUUACGUCGAUAUCUCCAAGGUCAAGGUCACACUUUGAGUUCAAAGGUCAAAAAUGGCCAUAAAUGAGCUUGUCCGAGCCAUAACUAUGUCGUUCAUCGUCAGAUUUUAAAAUCAUUUGGCACAUUUGUUCACCCUCAUUGGACGGUGUGUCGCGCGAAAUAAUUACGUCGAUAUCUCCAAGGUCAAGGUCACACUUUGAGUUCAAAGGUCAAAAAUGGCCAUAAAUGAGCUUGUCCUGGCCAUAACUAUGUCAUUCAUUGUGAGAUUUUAAAAUCAUUUGGCACAUUUGUUCACCAUCAUGGGACGGUGUGUCCCACGAAAGAAUCACGUCAAUAUCUCCAAUGUCAAGGUCGCCACGACUAAAAAUAGAUUUAAAAAAAAAAAACUUACAAAGGGGGUUAAUUUUUUUUGGUCAUUUCAAAAGUUCAGUUUGAGUUUUCUCCCUUUAUCAGAUUUUUUUUUCACAAUGAAAACCUGGUUUUGUGACAAUUUUGUCCCUUGUCUAAUUCAUUUUGUAGUUCUCGAAGUUGUUCAGAAUUAGCUUCAUUUAAUGAUUGUUGAAGUAAAUUUAUUUUCUUAAUUUAAUUAGAUUCAUGGUUUUUGUUAUGUUUAGCAUUAUGUGAUGAGAAUGAAAUAGUUUAACCUCUAAUUUCCAUAAGUAGUGUUUCUAGGAAUAAUUGGUCGUUGAUAACAAAUUGUAUGUCGCUUUUGUGAAUAUUUUCUAUGUUUUCUAAGUUGUAAAUAGGGAUACAGUAUUGUUGUUUAACAUUUUCUAUUAGAGUAUUAAUGCAGUUUAAAUAGUGGAUAUCCUUUAAAAGUGAAUUAUUGAAUUUCCAUAGCCGUUUUCCAUGUACUACAUCCUCAAAACUUAUUUCUAAGUCGAUUAUGGAAUGAUCUGAUUUAUAACAUGAAUCAAUAGUAGAUUUUCUAAUUUUUGAUGACAGAUUAUUUAAAAUAAGAAAAAAAUCAAGUCUAGCCUGUUGUAAUGGUGUUAACCGUCUCCAUGUAUUUUGUCGGAUAGUGUCAUUAAGAUAUCUGAAAGUAUCAAUUAUAUUGUUAUCUUUGAUAAUGGAUUGUAGUGUUUUUCUUGCAUUUUUAUUAUUGUUAAUGGAUGUAUAAUUUUGAUAAUUUAAGUUGACAUCUAGUACUCAAUUAAAGUCUCCACAUAUUAUAUACGUAUCAGUGUGAAAAUCUGUUGUUUUUUUUUAAGAGGUCUGUAAAAAAAGCGGGCGUAUCUUUAUUGGGCCCAUAUAAUGUACAUAAGGUAAAACUGUUAUUCAUAUCAAAGACCUAUAGAUAACUAUAAUGUUAACUAUAGGUAUUUGUUCAUAUAUGUCAAAUCCAAUAGUAAGUAGUUACCAAUAGAAUCUUUUUCAAUUUUAUUUACUGUGAUUUGAAUGUUUUUUUUAAAUAAAAUGCAAACACCUCUUGAAUUUGAUUUUCCAAAACUAAAAUGACAUUCCCCAUCCCAUUCUGAAUAUAUUUUAUUUUUAAUUUCCGGAGUAAAAUGACAGUCUUGGAGACAAUAAAUAUGGGCUUGUUUUGUUUUUAAUAAACCAAAGACAUCUCUA